rnacentral:ncRNA from 1 species
UGAAUCUUAGAAGUUCUUAAUGCUUGAAGGAUUAUUUAGAAAUGAUUGAACACGAUGUUCAAUCAAGUCGCCACUGAGCCAUGGAUGGCGAAUUGGCGACGGUUUCGUGCGGUGUCAAUAUGUGGAUCAGAGCAUUUAGAACUUCUUAGGUUC